rnacentral:rRNA from 1 species
AAGGGCGCGUAGGCGGAUUAUCAAGUCUCUUGUGAAAUCUAAUGGCUUAACCAUUAAACUGCUUGGGAAACUGAUAGUCUAGAGUGAGGGAGAGGCAGAUGGAAUUGGUGGUGUAGGGGUAAAAUCCGUAGAUAUCACCAAGAAUACCCAUUGCGAAGGCGAUCUGCUGGAACUCAACUGACGCUAAGGCGCGAAAGCGUGGGGAGCAAACAGGAUUAGAUACCCUGGUAGUCCACGCCCUAAACGAUGUACACUAGUUGUUGGGGUGCUAGUCAUCUCAGUAAUGCAGCUAACGCAUUAAGUGUACCGCCUGGGGAGUACGGUCGCAAGAUUAAAACUCAAAGGAAUAGACGGGGACCCGCACAAGCGGUGGAGCAUGUGGUUUAAUUCGAAGAUACGCGAAGAACCUUACCUGGGCUUGAUAUCCUAAGAACCUUUUAGAGAUAAGAGGGUGCUAGCUUGCUAGAACUUAGAGACAGGUGCUGCACGGCUGUCGUCAGCUCGUGUCGUGAGAUGUUGGGUUAAGUCCCGCAACGAGCGCAACCCACGUAUUUAGUUGCUAACGGUUCGGCCGAGCACUCUAAAUAGACUGCCUUCGUAAGGAGGAGGAAGGUGUGGACGACGUCAAGUCAUCAUGGCCCUUAUGCCCAGGGCGACACACGUGCUACAAUGGCAUAUACAAUGAGACGCAAUACCGCGAGGUGGAGCAAAUCUAUAAAAUAUGUCCCAGUUCGGAUUGUUCUCUGCAACUCGAGAGCAUGAAGCCGGAAUCGCUAGUAAUCGUAGAUCAGCCAUGCUACGGUGAAUACGUUCCCGGGUCU